GAUGAACGCUGGCGGCGUGCCUAAUACAUGCAAGUCGAGCGAACGGACGAGAAGCUUGCUUCUCUGAUGUUAGCGGCGGACGGGUGAGUAACACGUGGAUAACCUACCUAUAAGACUGGGAUAACUUCGGGAAACCGGAGCUAAUACCGGAUAAUAUUUUGAACCGCAUGGUUCAAAAGUGAAAGGCGGUCUUGCUGUCACUUAUAGAUGGAUCCGCGCUGCAUUAGCUAGUUGGUAAGGUAACGGCUUACCAAGGCAACGAUGCAUAGCCGACCUGAGAGGGUGAUCGGCCACACUGGAACUGAGACACGGUCCAGACUCCUACGGGAGGCAGCAGUAGGGAAUCUUCCGCAAUGGGCGAAAGCCUGACGGAGCAACGCCGCGUGAGUGAUGAAGGUCUUCGGAUCGUAAAACUCUGUUAUUAGGGAAGAACAUAUGUGUAAGUAACUGUGCACAUCUUGACGGUACCUAAUCAGAAAGCCACGACUAACUACGUG
rnacentral:rRNA from 1 species